rnacentral:tRNA from 1 species
AGGUAGAAUGGCCGAGUUAGGUGGCAGGCUGUAKCCCUGCUUACACAGGUUUAAGCCUGUUUCUCCC